GGUCUAGGGUUGUUCCUUGAAGUGAGUAUGUUACCACUGAGAUAAAGACGUGGUCUAGAUAAGCUCUAGAACAUAGACAAAUGGAGCUGUGCUGGAUCCAAAACUUGACAGACUCUUUGAGCGUUCAAAUGAGGGACAGAAGCUAGACUUAUCCUUAAGAGACUGAAUCAUUUUACAGACCUAUUCUGCAUCUUGCAACCCAUGGUAUUAAUCAUAUAUUAUGGCACUGUAAGUGACUCUAACCACUGAUUCAAACUCCU
rnacentral:lncRNA from 1 species